AGUGAACGCUGGCGGCAGGCCUAACACAUGCAAGUCGAACGACCACACAGUGAGAUUUCUCCUCUAACGGUGGCGGCUGGCGGAUGAGUGACGCAUACAUCACCUACUUAUAUUACUUGGGUAAUUACGUGGAGACGGAUAUACUGCUAGCGCAUAUGUUCUACCGCUUAGUGCAAUAGAUCAUCGCAGCUUUGCUGUCUCUUAUAGCUGAUGUCGCGUUAGCUAGUUGGGGGGGUAAAGGCCCACCAAGGCGACGAUCCGUAGCUGGUCUGAGAGGAUGAUCAGCCACACUGGAACUGAGACACGGUCCAGACUCCUACGGGAGGCAGCAGUGGGGAAUAUUGGACAAUGGGCGCAAGCCUGAUCCAGCCAUACCGCGUGGGUGAAGAAGGCCUUCGGGUUGUAAAGCCCUUUUGUUGGGAAAGAAAAGCAGCAGGUUAAUACCCCGCUGUUCUGACGGUACCCAAAGAAUAAGCACCGGCUAACUUCGUG
rnacentral:rRNA from 1 species